GGGCCUUUAGCUCAGUUGGUUAGAGCAGCUGGCUCAUAACCGGCCGGUCCCGGGUUCGAAUCCCUGAAGGCCCACCA
rnacentral:tRNA from 9 species